UACAGAGGGUGCGAGCGUUGUCCGGAAUCACUGGGCGUAAAGGGCGCGUAGGUGGCGGCCCAAGUCCAUGGUGAAAGCUCGAUGCUCAACAUCGAGUCGGCCACGGAUACUGGGUUGCUCGAGCACUGUAGGGGCAGAUGGAAUUCCGGGUGUAGCGGUGGAAUGCGUAGAGAUCCGGAAGAACACCGGUGGCGAAGGCGGUCUGACUGGGGCCAGUUGCUGGACACUGAGGCG
rnacentral:rRNA from 1 species